rnacentral:rRNA from 1 species
GGGUAUUGCCCUAGUAACGGCGAGUGAAGCGGCAUCAGCUCAAAUUUGAAAUCUGGCUCUUUCAGGGUCCGAGUUGUAAUUUGCAGAGGGCGCUUUGGCGUUGGCAGCGGUCUAAGUUCCUUGGAACAGGACGUCACAGAGGGUGAGAAUCCCGUACGUGGUCGCUAACCUUCGCCGUGUAAAGCCCCUUCGACGAGUCGAGUUGUUUGGGAAUGCAGCUCUAAAUGGGAGGUAAAUUUCUUCUAAAGCUAAAUACUGGCCAGAGACCGAUAGCGCACAAGUAGAGUGAUCGAAAGAUGAAAAGCACUUUGGAAAGAGAGUCAAAUAGCACGUGAAAUUGUUGAAAGGGAAGCGCUUGCAGCCAGACUUGCCUGUAGUUGCUCAUCCGGGCUUUUGCCCGGUGCACUCUUCUGCGGGCAGGCCAGCAUCAGUCUAGGCGGUUGGAUAAAGGCCUCUGUCACGUACCUCCUUUCGGGGAGGCCUUAUAGGGGAGGCGACAUGCAACCAGCCUGGACUGAGGUCCGCGCAUCUGCUAGGAUGCUGGCGUAAUGGCUGUAAGCGGCCCGUCUUGAAACACGGACCAAGGAGUCUAACAUCUAUGCGAGUGUUUGGGUGUCAAGCCCGAACGCGUAAUGAAAGUGAACGGAGGUGGGAUCCCUUUUAGGGUGCACCAUCGACCGAUCCUGAUGUCUUCGGAUGGAUUUGAGUAAGAGCAUGGCUGUUGGGACCCGAAAGAUGGUGAACUAUGCUUGAAUAGGGUGAAGCCAGAGGAAACUCUGGUGGAGGCUCGCAGCGGUUCUGACGUGCAAAUCGAUCGUCAAAUUUGGGCAUAGGGGCGAAAGACUAAUC